rnacentral:lncRNA from 1 species
GAGCCGCGUCUCUCGCUCCGUUCGCGGGGUGGGGUGCCCCCAGGAAUCACGAGUAGCCGUCUUGAUGUAACAGCAAGAGGGCUAUCUGAGAGGUGCCUGGUCCCAUGCUGCACGGAAGUGAGACAUCCAGGUGACCACUGUGCUGACAAAGCUGGGAUCACAUUGCCAGUCCACCACUGGGAUCUACUCAGUAGUCACGAGAUUCCCCGAAGCUGGGCCUGCUGGGCUCUGUCAGCGUCCAGCAUCCAUCGACGAGCACCCAGGUGUCUCUGCAUCAUCGCCCUGUGAUGCUUCUAAGUCUCACCUACCAGGAUGCUCCUGCAGCAAGGAGGUCAGGCCUUCCAGAGGGCUGCCUGGGGCUUAAGUCGACGGUGGACUUCAUCACCACUACUUUACGGUACAUGCAGGUGCUGAACACCUUGACUUUUGGACACCGGUUUACUCAAGGCCGUCAAGGUUGAAAUGCACCUGUCUUAGCUGGAUGGUGGUGGCACAUGCUUUAGUCAGGAGGAAGAAGACGGGGAUCUCAGUUCUGGGAUAUCCUGGUCUACAGAGCUGUAGAUGUCCCGCUCUUGUCUUGCACCCCAGCCAAAUCCCAUUACCGACCUGAGGGCCAGGAACAGCAGUGUGUCUAUGCAACUUCCUCCAGGGACAUUUCCGGGCAGCCCAGGCCAUCUUCAGUGUUCCAUGAAUCCCAGUUUAAGAAAGAGCACGUGCGACCUGCCUGACUGGAAUUUGUUUGUGUACAAGAAGAGACGGGGACAGAGACACAGACAGAACCUCACAGUGCAUGGACGUCAAGGAGUCAUCAGGAUGCGAGGCCAGAUCUCCAACCCAGGCUGGCCAGAGUCUCCGGGAGGUCCUCGUUGGUUUUGUCUGAUUAGCUAGCCUGUUCCAGAGGCUGAAGCCAGCACUGAAUCCAUGGAAUGAACUUCCCAGAGUUGUGCAUUAUGGGUUGGGGAACAUGGGGUCUAAUGGUGCCCUUCCUGCCUCUGAGAGGGAUAGGACACUCCUCUCUUCUCAAAUCAGACAGGAAAAAAAUGUCUGUCCUC